AAUAAUCAAUUAGGUAGAGAGAAAGUCUAUUUAAGGGAUAAAUGAAUAUCUACAAAACCAAUAACAUUGAAUGAGGAGAUAUUAGAUGAAACUAAAGAAUAAAAAUACAAAAACAAUAUACCAACAAUGGUAUUAUUGACAUAAAUAUAAAUUCAAGAGAAAUAAUAUAAUAUAGAAUAGUAUAAUAAAUAGAUAAAAUAUCUCAUAGGAGAGAUAGUAAAGUAUGGUUACUAUAAAAUUAUGAUGAAAUAAAUAUUAUUUUAUAGAUUCUUUAACUAAUACUUAUAAAGAUUAAAUAAGAUUAUAAAUAUAAUCUAUUCUUAGCAUGAAAAUGCAAAUAAAAAGUCAAAUGAAUUGAAACAUCUUAGUAAUUUGAAAAAAAUCAACAGAGACAUUAUUAGUAAUGGUGAGUGAAAAUAAUGUAGUAUUCAAGUAAUAUCAUGAGGUAUGAAGAUAGUAGUAUCUACUACUAAUACUAAAGAAAAGUAUUAAGUUUAAUAUGUACUGUAAAGGAACUAGAUGAAAUAGAAUAAUAAAGAGCAAUUUUAGUAAAAUGUACCUCUUGUAUAAUGGGUCAGUGAGUUAUAUAUAUAAGCGAAAUUAAAUAAUAAUUAAAUAUAAAUAGUAAAAGUUUAUAUAUAUAGACCCGAAAGCAGACGAUCUAUAUAUGUUCAAGUAUAUUUAAUAAUAUGACUGAAUGGGUAGAUGUAGCAAUAUCUUCCAAAGAAAUGUGUAUAGUAGUGAAAGGCAAAUCUAGUCUGCCAAUAGCUGGUUUUCUACGAAAUAUAUUUUAGUAUAGCCUAUAAUAAAAUAAUAACUGGUACAGCACUGAAUGUUCAUUGGGGAGCCGAUAAGCUUUAUCAAGAAUGUUUAAUCUCAGAAACAGUAAACUAUAAAUUAUAGAGUCAGACUUAUUGCGAUAAGGUAGUAGGUCGAGACGGAAACAACCAAGAUUAUAAAAUAAAUGUCCCAAAAUUAUAUUAAGUGAAUCAAAUCUUCCUUAUAAGGUAGACAAUUAGUCAGUGGGUUUGACAAUAAUCACCUGUUAAUGAACAUGUAGCAAUGCACUAAUUCGAUUUAUAUUUAAGAAAAAAUAUACGGGUCUAAAUAUAUUACUUAAUUAUAAAUAUCUUAUUAAUAAGAUAUAGUAGUAGAACAUAUAAUAAAUUAAUAAAAAUAAAAAUAUAAAGAUUAAUAAAUUAUAAAGAAUAUGCUGACUUGAGUAACGAAAGGUAAUUUAAGAUUACCCUCUAAAUCAUAAGGUUAUAACAAUAAAAGAACGGACUCUAAUAUAUAAUAUGAAAAUAUUAUAAAGAUGAGAGAUAGAACAAGAAAAGAAACAAACCGUACUGUAAACCGACACAGGUAUGAUAAAAAGAGAAUAAGACAACUAUUAUGAAUGAACUCGGCAAAAUACAAAACAGUAAAGUUCGUGCGACUGUUUACCAAAAACAUAGCUUAUUGCGUAUUAGUGAUAAUUAGUAUAAUAAGUGAUAUCUGCCCGGUGCUAGUAUGCAUAAUAUAUUAAGUGAAAGCAAGAUAUAGAAAUAACUAGUAAACGGCGGUCUUAUUCUGAGGAUCCUAAGGUAGCGAAAUUCCUAGACAUAUAAUUGAUGUCCCGCAUGAAUGAUUUUACGAUGCGACAACUGUAUCCAUAAUAGUCUUAGUGAAAUAGCAAUUGCAGUGAAGAUGCUGUAUAACUAUAGUUUGACAAAAAGACCCUAUGCAGCUUUACUAUAUCUUUAUAUUGAUUGCUUUUAAUUGUAUUUUCAGAAUAUUAAGUGCAUUUAAAUAAAAGAAAUGAGAUACUUAUAAUAGAAUUUUAACAAUCUAAUCUUAUAAAAAUGAAGAAAUAAGAGACAGUUUAAAGAAGUUAGUUUCGAUGGGGCGUCGACAUCAGCGAAAGCAUCUGAUGUGUCUAAAUAAUAAAAAAUAUAUAAAAUUAUUUUAUAAUUAUAAUAGUAAACACGUACAAUAAUUCUAUAUGGCGAAUAGAUAAAAGUAAGGAUAACAACAUAAUUGUGCGAUAAUAAUAACACAAACAAGUGAAAUUAAUACGUAAGUAUAGUGUAAUGAACAGGCAUAAUCUAAAGAUAUGGAUGUCGAUAACGAAUAAAAGUUACGCUAGGGAUAACAGGGUAAUACCGCUAGAGAGUUGAUAUCGUCAGCGGUGUUUGCCACCUCGAUGUCGUCUAGACUCAUCCUCUUGGCCGUAGCAACUAAGUAGGGUAGGACUGUUCGUCCUUUAAAGAGUUACUUGAGAUGGGUUAAUUACGACGUGAGUCAGUAAUGAUUUUAUCAUCUAUAGUAAGAUAUUUUAAUUAUUAUACUACGUGUACGAAAGGAUAUUGGUAUGUAUUCCAAUGGUAAUAAGACAAAGAAAGAAAUCUUAUAAGCUAAGAAUAUAGAGAUUAAAUAUUGAAUGCAUAUAAAUAUGAAAUCCGAUAAUUAAAAUAUAAACAUUAAAGAUUAUAAUGUAAUAGUAAUAUAUAAGUAAAUUAAAAGAAUUUACAUAACAUAUAAACUAAUAAAAACUUUCAUCAUAAAAAAUAUCUCAAAGGGAUUAUAGAU
rnacentral:rRNA from 1 species